AUGACUUUGAUCUGCGUCCUCAUCUGGACUCUCCUCUGCUGCUGCUUCACAGAGGUCAGAGGUCAGUACACACUGACUCAGCCUUCAGCAGUGAGAGCUGAUAUUGGAGGAUCUGCCACCAUCAACUGUAGAACCAGUCAGAAUGUUUAUGUUUAUAGCGGCUCCCACUAUUUAGCCUGGUACCAACAGAAAGAUGGACAAACUCCUAAGCUCCUCAUUUAUCUUUCUAGCACUCGAGCAUCAGGGACUCCAAGUCGUUUUACAGGCAGUGGAUCAAACUCUGACUUCACUCUGACCAUCAGUGGAGUUCAGGCUGAAGAUGCUGCAGUUUAUUACUGUCAGAGUUUUCAUUACCCCAACAGCCAGUAUGUGUUCACACAGUGA